AGAGUUUGAUCCUGGCUCAGGACGAACGCUGGCGGAAUGGAUUAGGCAUGCAAGUCGAACGAGAAUUUUUCCUUCGGGAGAGAGGACAGUGGCGAACGGGUGAGUAACGCGUGGGUAUCUGCCUUUAAGUGGGGGACAACUCAGGGAAACUUGAGCUAAUACCGCAUGUGGCAGUAAUGUUAAAGGUGGCCUCUAUUUAUAAGCUGCCGCUUAAAGAUGAACCUGCGUACUAUUAGCUAGUUGGUGAGGUAAUGGCUCACCAAGGCAAUGAUAGUUAGGCGGCCUUAACGGGUGGCCGCCCACACUGGGAUUGAGAUACGGCCCAGACUCCUACGGGAGGCAGCAGUCGAGAAUAGUCUACAAUGGACGAAAGUCUGAUAGUGCAAUUCCGCGUGGAUGAAGAAGCAUUUCGGUGUGUAAAAUCCUUUUCUCUAUGAGCAAAGCUUAGAAGGUUAACAGCUUUUUGAGUAAGAUAUUAGUAGAGGAAUAAGCCUCGGCUAACUCCGUGCCAGCAGCCGCGGUAAUACGGGGGAGGCAAGCGUUGUCCGGAAUCACUAGGCGUAAAGGGCAAGUAGGCGGAUCAGUAAGUUACGGGUUAAAUUUAGAGGCUCAACCUCUAACCAGCUUGUGAUACUGCUGAUCUAGAGUCAGACAGGGGAAGACGGAAUUCCCGGUGUAGCGGUGGAAUGCGCAGAUAUCGGGAAGAACACUCAUGGCGAAGGCAGUCUUCUGGGUCAUGACUGACGCUCAAUUGCGAAGGUGUGGGUAUCAAACAGGAUUAGAUACCCUGGUAGUCG
rnacentral:rRNA from 1 species